GACGAACGCUGGCGGCGUGCUUAACACAUGCAAGUCGAACGGAAAGGCCCUGCUUUUGUGGGGUGCUCGAGUGGCGAACGGGUGAGUAACACGUGUGUAUCAUGCCCCUGACUUUGGGAUAACUUCAGGAAACUGGGGCUAAUACCGGAUAGGAGCUCCUGAUGCAUGGUGGGGGAUGGAAAGUUUCGGCGGUUGUGGCAGGAGUCGAGGCUUACGAGCUUGUUGGUGGGGUAGUGGCUUUCAAAGGCUUUGACGGGUAGCCGGCCUGAGCGGGUGACCGGCCACAUUGGGACUGAGAUACGGCCCAGACUCCUACGGGAGGCAGCAGUGGGGAAUAUUGCACAAUGGGCGGAAGCCUGAUGCAGCAACGCCGCGUGCGGGAUGACGGCCUUCGGGUUGUAAACCGCUUUCGCCUGUGACGAAGCGUGAGUGACGGUAAUGGGUAAAGAAGCACCGGCUAACUACGUG
rnacentral:rRNA from 1 species